GUGAAUCAUCAAAUUUUUGAACGCAAAUUGCACUCUCCUCUAAGAGUAUGCCUGUUUGAGGGUCAGCCUAUAAAAAUCCACAUCCUUGCUGUUUCGCGGUGGCUUUCGUCGAAGAUUGGGGCAUCUUAAAUCUUUUGGUUUUACGCUACUUAACAUUUUCUUUUUGUUUCCAUGUACGUUUCUAAGAUUUAUUUCUUUACACGUUUAAGCUAUCAAUUUUUAUUAGACGUGACCAUCAUCUCGGAUCACGAAUAUACUCUUUCAUUAACUAACCACAUACAGG
rnacentral:misc_RNA from 1 species